CCAAUAGCGUAUAUUAAAGUUGUUGCAGUUAAAAAGCUCGUAGUUGAAUUUCGGGAUCAGACUGUCGGUCGUGCCUCGGUACGCACUGGCAUUAUUGGUUCCUACCUUCUGAAGAACCGCGAUGUCAUUAAUUUGGUGUCGUGGGGAAUCAGGACUGUUACUUUGAAAAAAUUAGAGUGUUUAAAGCAGGCGCACGCUUGAAUACAUUAGCAUGGAAUAAUGAAAUAGGACGUUUGAUUCUAUUUUGUUGGUUUCUAGGAUCGACGUAAUGAUUAAUAGGGAUAGUUGGGGGCAUUAGUAUUCAAUUGUCAGAGGUGAAAUUCUUGGAUUUAUUGAAGACUAACUACUGCGAAAGCAUUUGCCAAGGAUGUUUUCAUUAAUCAAGAACGAAAGUUAGGGGAUCGAAGACGAUCAGAUACCGUCGUAGUCUUAACCAUAAACUAUGCCGACUAGGGAUCGGAUGAUGUUAAUUUUAUAAUGACUCAUUCGGCGCCUUACG
rnacentral:rRNA from 1 species